CGGCACAUCUGUUAAAAG
rnacentral:snRNA from 1 species